AUUGAACGCUGGCGGCAGGCCUAACACAUGCAAGUCGAACGGUAACAGGAAGAAGCUUGCUUCUUUGCUGACGAGUGGCGGACGGGUGAGUAAUGUCUGGGAAACUGCCUGAUGGAGGGGGAUAACUACUGGAAACGGUAGCUAAUACCGCAUAACGUCGCAAGACCAAAGAGGGGGACCUUCGGGCCUCUUGCCAUCGGAUGUGCCCAGAUGGGAUUAGCUAGUAGGUGGGGUAACGGCUCACCUAGGCGACGAUCCCUAGUUGGUCUGAGAGGAUGACCAGCCACACUGGAACUGAGACACGGUCCAGACUCCUACGGGAGGCAGCAGUGGGGAAUAUUGCACAAUGGGCGCAAGCCUGAUGCAGCCAUGCCGCGUGUAUGAAGAAGGCCUUCGGGUUGUAAAGUACUUUCAGCGGGGAGGAAGGGAGUAAAGUUAAUACCUUUGCUCAUUGACGUUACCCGCAGAAGAAGCACCGGCUAACUCCGUG
rnacentral:rRNA from 1 species